CGCCUCUCUCCGGCCUUGCUGACACCUGGCUGACUGACCGUGGACCGCAGGGCAGAGUCAUGCAAUGGUCAAUUUUUUGAGACCCGCCCCCGCCCGCACCCGCAAAGUUCAGCACCAGAUCCGACCCAUCACCAGUGAUAAUAGUAAACUCAAAUCCGCACCCGCCCGGACCCGUUAAUAUUUGGCCCGUUACCCAACAUCAAAUAAAUGUGCUUUAUUUUUAUCACGCACUAUUGGAGCACAUUUCAUCAAACAAAGAAAUCAAAAGCCGCAGUAGUGACGUGAUGGGUCAAGUGUCGUAUUGUUGACUAAAACACAUAGGCUACUGUAUUUGCGAUGUGGUAAUGUUGUAUGUCUAUUGUAUUAGACAUACAAUAUUUCACAUAUUUUUAAAUGAUGUUUUAUUUCAGCAAACUAAAAUACUGUUUUGGUUCUCAUACGCUAUCCUCCCGCAAGGAGUUAAUUUCCUGCCCGUGAAUUUUAGGGAAUUCACAAUCCACCUGUUUUAGCAACUUUUAUGCGGGUACCCGCCCAUUGCAGGACUCUGCCGCAGGGCUCACAUUCACAUCUGCAUCUAGGGCAUUUAGCAGAAGCUUUUAUCGAAAGCCACUUAAAUCACACAUUCACAAACCGACAGGGAAUAUACCGUGUUAGGUGACAACCAGCUCGUCAGGAGCACUCUAAGGCGUCUUGCUCAGGGACACCUCGACACUCCGGGAAGGAGCCGGGGAUCGAACUAGCAACCCUCUGGUUACAAGCCCAUUGUCUUUUGAGUGAGACUUCUUGAACAAGAUGAAGAUGUGAGAUUGAAUAAGGAACCCAAAGGCCGGUGUUUUGGUGAAUUACAAAAUAGCAGGAUUGGAUAAUUAUGUAAAUUGAUACAAAUCCACCAGUGGCAGCAUUGGACUUUGAAAGCUGGUUGGCAGCAUGUCUUGGAGUACAAGGGAAGAAGGAAAGGAUGCAAAGCCAAUUAGUCAAAUCAGGCUUUGCCGUCAAGUUUGAUUGGCUGUCACGGUCAAACGGUUUUGAAUUUGAAAAAGCUGUUUGGCAGGUUUGUUCGGCUUGGUCUGAAGAUCAUAUAGGGCAAGUUUCAUGAUGAUUGGACGAAAUAUGUGGCCUGUGGAUAUGUAAUAUUGAUACAGACAACUUUAAACAUGGCGGCCAAUUUCUGAUGUUGCCAUGGGAAAUAUUUUAUUAGCUAUAUGGCUAACAGUAUCACCAGACAUUGAAAAUGUCUGGUGAUACGUCUUCAUUAAUUAUAGCGCCCCCUAGAGGUCGAUGGUCACCAAAUUCAUUGAGUGUCCCCAUGAUGAUUUCAUGGUUUUAUUUACAAAGUUUGGUUAUGAUGUGUGAAAGGGCUACUGAGAUAUUGGCUUACUUUCUGUUUGGUGACUUUGCGGUCGAUUUGAUUGGCUGUAGCGGCCAAACGGUUUUGAUGUUUCUAUCAAGCAUGGCCUGAAGAGUUUCGAGAUGAUUGGACAAGAUUUGUGAUAGGAAUAGCAUUUUGAAGGUUUUUGACAUAAACCAAGAUGGCGGAAAAUCCAUCAUGGCGCAAAAUGACGACAUUGAACUCAGGAAUCCAAUGAUACUUUGUUUGAGAAUAUUGGAUCAAUGGGUCAAAAGUUAUAAACAUGAAUGCAUGUCCAACUUUGACCUGUUGGUGGCGCUAGAGAUGAUGAGCUAGCGACCUCAAAUUAGCUUCAUGUGCUAAUGGCACUGUCCUGAACCAGUGUGCCAAAUUUCACAACUUUUCACCAAGGCGUUCUAUGGGCUGCCAUAGACUCCCACUGAAGGAUUAUAAUAAUAGGAACUCAUAAGAAAACAAUAGGUUGUCUCGCAGCUUCGCUGCUUGACACCCAAUAAAGAAACAAUAGCUUACCAAAAGUGAUAGCAUUUAAAAUGCAUCAUGCUCUGAAUCAUUCACUAACAACCUUUCCAGAAUAUCAAACAGAACGGUCAGAAUAACAAAUAAUUAAAAGAACAACAAGAACAUUAUUUAACAACUAUUUACAUGGGCUGUAAGCCUAACAUUGCUUGAGGCAAAUGUGGAUGUUAAUGGAUGUUUCAGAAUGUUGGUCAUGGUGUAAAGCCAAUUAAGUUUGAGGGACUUCAUUCAUAGAUCAAGUCAACCCUCCUCGCGGGCUCUGCAGCUCAGCCGCUGGCAGCCCGCCCGCAGGCUCCGCAGCCCGGCCACGGGCUACGGAAACAUCAAUAUAAGCGAACAGAGCCGCACUGUACCGCAACGAACAUUAGCACACCGCUCGAUGGAAACGAGGCUGAGCGGGUUUGUUGGUUCUCGUAACCUAGACUUGAGGCGAUAAACCCUCCCGCCGGUCUGCUCCACAGCCAGGGUGCUUAUUGGUUCAUAGCGCAACCAGGGCUUCAGCCUAUUCGUGAAUACACGUAGGUGGGAUCCCGAUCCCUUAGCUAGUCACACCCACUCAGAGGAGGACUUUCCUCCUCUCUCCCAUUGAACCCUAUGUUAUUCACCGGCCGCCAACACUUUCGGGGAAAUGAAUGGGAGUCAAUGGAGGCUGAGGGAGGAACGUUCUCCCUGAAGUAAUUGUCAAUAGGGGGUGUUAAUGUCCCUUUACCCAGGGAAACAAACAUAACAUAUACAUAUAUAGUCUGGACAAUCUACAUUUUUUAUUCUCAACAAUGUUAAGGAGGAUCUUCCUCCCUCUCCUCACUGGAGAAGCCUCCACUGGUGUUUGUGUGUGUACAUAUAUAUAAUAUGUGUAUCAUCUCUUAACCCAAAAGUAGAAAAUACGUAAUGACUAAAUAUGGCAAACAAUUCUCUGAGCAGCAUUAGGACAAGAUGGACCCCUGACUAUUCCCCCCAGCUAGUCUGUUGGCUCCCAAACCAAACCGGUGACAUUUAGGGCUGCUGUUGUUGUUUACUGGCAGUUUCCACUCAGCAGCUCAGUAUGGAAACUUUAGAAGCUCCCCUCCAAUCCUUUCCUCGUUCCUUGAAUAUCCCCAGAAGCCUCAUGUGCUGUAGAGGAGAGUAGAGAUGGACCCCCGUCCAUCAGCAGGGACCUCCUCAAGGACAGCUGACAGGUUUCUUAUAGCAGUACAUCAUAUCAUUGUUGAGAAAACAUGUUGGAGUAAUCUCGCAUUCCCAAGCCCUGCACCUUCCCGCCCAAUGUGUCACAGCCCACAACAGGGCCCAGGGCUGCUGGGACAUGUAGUUGUGGAUCAGCUUCAGUGGAAGAACUGGUUCAGGAAGUGAGAUCCAUUAAUUUCACCCACUAGCAUUUUUCCUUUACAGGUUUUCUGAGCAUUUGUAUCAGUCAUGUGAAGCUGUCCUGAACAACCUUAUGGGGGUUUCCAAAGGGAUCCCAUGGGGCUCUGUACCCCCUUAGGGUACCGAUCGGCUGAUUGGCUAAGCAGCCAAAGACACCACAUGUGUUUACACCUCCCUUCCUCCCUGGAGAGGAGUGGGCGACGGGAGGCUUGAGAGGAAGUGCAGAAGAGAGGGAAAGGGGAGGACUAUGGAAAGAGGGAGGAUAUGCGAUGGGGGAUGAGAAGGAUGGGAGGUUACGGGGGUCAGGUCCGUUCUGGGGCCUCAUUACAGAAACUUCCUAACUCUGAAAUCCUAUCCUAUCUUGAGAUAGGAAGGCAUUUAGGGGUUGUGAUAUUACAGAAGGAGGUUUCCUAACUUAACUUGGGAAGAAAUCCUAUGUUAUCUUAAGAUAGGAAUUUAACCAUUACAGAACUUUCCUAACUUAGGAGUUUCUUAAGUUAGGAUCCCUAAGUUAGGUAGCAGCACUGCUAGUAGGUCUGUAUGACAAUGAAGACGAGGAACAUCACGACAGAAAUGUGAUGGCUAAAAGGCUACCGAGACCGCAUAAUGAUUUGUUACAUUUGUAUUUUAAUUUCAUUUUAUCGCCUGCAAAGACAUUUAAUUUUGAAUUUGGUGGAAGAAUUACUUUACUACUUUAUUACUACCUCUUCUUGUUCUCUCUACCAAUACCCGCCAUGACCGUAGUACUAGUGCUACUAGCUUGCCGUUAUUAGCAAAGAUCCUCAAAAGUCUCUGUUAAUGUUAAAAGUUACUCAUUCUAUCAAUCUCAUGCACACUCUGAGUGCAGAAACAGACAAAACCUGACGAUUGCCGAUCGAAAAAUCUGAUUGAAAGAACAGUUAGGAUUACCUAAAUUAAGAUAAGAUAGGAUGCCAAAAAUAAGAUAGGAAACGGCCAAUAGGUUAGGGACUGCUUCUGUAAUAGGAAAUUAGGAUUUUUUCCUAUCUUUGAGUCCCUAACUUAAAGGCAUAUUGUACGAUUUUCAGUGAUAUGCACUUUUUAAUAUGUUGUUGAAAUUGGUUUAUACAUCCUGACAGCAAUAAAUAACUUAUGGGCAAUGAAAAAGAAGCGAAAAAAAAACGAAUUCUGUAUCUGCUAUAAACCUGUUAAAAUGCUUACCAAUCGGAGACAUUGUACCCGAAUCUAAAGAACCAAUCACAA